ensembl:snRNA U6 U6 spliceosomal RNA
GUGCUUGUUUCCACAGCACGAAUGCUAAAAUUGGAAUGACACAAAGAAGAUUAGCAUGGCCCCUGCACAUGGAUGACAUGCAAAUUCAUGAGGCAUUCCAGAUUUUA